UUAAACAGUGGGAGUUUCGGGCAGGACGAAUGUUUUGAUGAAAGGAACCGCCAACUGUUUAUUUCCCUACAAAGUUGCUACCCGAGCUGCUGGGACAGCGUAUUGUCAUUUCUGUGAACACCACAAGCAUUUUGUCUAUUUUAAUCAAGACUCCCAGCAUAUGCAGAUUCAACAGGAUCCUAAACUGCUCGGUCACGCCUGCCCUAAGUAACGGGUGCAAAUAUCACCCAGAAGAUUCUAUGACAUAGGAGCAGCAUUGUCUGCUCCGCCUUUCCAUCAUGGCUGAUAUAUAAUCCCUCUCAACCCCAUUCUCCUGCCUUCUCCCUUUAACCUUUGAUGCCCUGAUUAAUCAAACUCUGCUUUAAAUACAUCCAAUGACUUGGCAAACACAGCUGUCUGUGGCAAUACAGUAAGUUCCACAGAUUCACCACCCACUGGCGAAAGAAAUUUUUCCUCAUCUCUGUUUCAAAUGGGCAUGCCUUAAUUCUGAUGUUGUGCACUCUGUUCCAAGACUACCCUACUAUAGGAAACAUCCACUGUAUCUAGGCAUUUCAAAUUUGGAUAGGUUUCAAUAAUAUCCUCCCUCUCCCCACCCACAUUCUUCUAAACUCCAGCAAGUGCAGGCCCAGAGCCAUCAAACGUUCUUCAUAUAUUAACUCUUUCAUUUCUGGGAUCAUCUUGUGAACUCAGCCACAACUCAGAGAAGCCACAACAUCAUACCCACCAAUCUCUGAAUGCAUGGUCCUCCAGUCCUGGCAACAUCCUUGUAAAUUGACAUCUUUCCUGUAGAAACUUUUGGAGCCUGCGAUGUGCAGUUUGGAAUUUGGUGAAUGAUCUUGCGCUCUGCUGUGUCCUGGGAGCUGCCUCGUGGAGGUCCAGAGAUGGGGACUCAAAGAAGAUUGAGAACACAAAACGAUUUGUGGAAAAGACCAGAGAUGGGGUAUGAGGUCACGCUCUAUUUCACAGCGUCGAGGAAGAUUAAGGAUCAAGGUGGAUACAGAGGGGGUCAGUGUUUGCUCUCAAUGGAGGCCACAGGGGCAUCGACAGUUGGUAUCUGGGUUGGCGGUGUUUGGACCGGAGGUGGCACUCAAACCCAGCAUGCCGUUGACUCGUCACAGAAGGACUGAGUUUGUGCGGCCGCUCUCCUCAAAUGCAAACAGGAAGAUGUUUUCGAUAUUCUGAGAUUUAUGUCAUCGUUGGACUGUACUUUAUAUUGGCUUCCUUCAGUUUUUGGGUGUUUUCUUUCUUGUGGCUGAUUGGUGGGUGGGUGAUUUGUUAGUUUUUGUGAGGGGGGUGUUUGGGGGUUUGGGGUCCAAUUUUCUUCUUGGUGUUUUUUUGUUUGUGAGAUCUGUUAGUUUUUGUGUGUGAGAGAGGGGGUCGGGGGUUUUGAUACCAUUGGCGCUGUCCUUUUCUGUAGGGGAGGGUUUGGAGAUUUGAUGUUAUGUCACUGUUCUUUUUCUCUUUGUGGGGAGGGUUGGGAUUUGUGAGUUUUGUUUCAUUUCCUUUUUGUGUCGGGUGUGGGGGGAGUUGAUGCCAUUUCUUUCAACAACCCCCAUGGUUUUUCUGUAUUUCGUGGCUCUCUGGAGAAGGCAAAUAUCAGAGUUGUACAUGCAUACUUUGACAAUAAAAUGAACCUCUGAACCUUUAUUAAUUUGCACGGCAACUUUGAGGGAUCUAUGUACACGGACCCUAAGAUCCAUCUAUCCCUUCACACUGCUGAGAACCCUGCCAUUAACCCUGUAUUCUGUCUUCAAAUUCAUCCUCCAAAAUGAAUCAUGGGUUGAACCCCAGCUGUCAUUUCUCAGCCCAGCUCUGUAUCCUGUCAAUGCUCCAUUGCAACCUAUAACAAUCUCCACGCUAUCCACAACUCCACCAAUCUUCAUGUCAUCUGGUAACUUGCUAAGCCAGUCUUCCACUUCCUCGUACAGGUCAUUUAUUAAAAUCACAAAGAACAGUGGUCCCAGAACAGAUCACUGUGUAACAUCACGGGUCACUGACCUCCAGGCAGAAUACUCUCCGUCUACUCCCACCCUCUGCCUUCAUAGGCAAGCAAAUUUUGUUACCACUCAUCGAGUUUUCCCUGGAUCUCGUGCCUCCUGAAUUUCGAAUGAGCCUUUCAUGGGUAACCUUCUCAAACACCCUAUUAAAAUCCAUAUACACCACAGCCACUACUCUACCAUCAUCAUUAUGCUUUUUCAUAUCUUCAAAUAGGUCAAACAGGCUCAUGAGGAACCUGUCUCUCACAAAGCAAUGCUGACUGGUGGCUUUCCAUCAUAUCCAGUGAUGACAGGAAACCUGUGUGGGAGAGUUUUUAAAGAGGAAAAGCCAUUGCACUGGGGCAGUUCCACUCUCUCAAGCUCGGAAGUCCCGGUCCAGUAGUACAAACAAAGAUCACAAACCGCGGUCUUCCUUGGUUGCAAUGGAUGACCAUGACAUCUUCUGUGCCUUGUCAAGCCCUUCGCUCUCCAUGGUGUGUUGCAGUACCUCCUUCCCAGUCAUUGGAUGUCUCUGCAGACCUUAUUUACCCAGUCUGCCGGAGAUAAUUUCACUGUCUCACCAGAAUACGAGGCCACUGGCUAUUACCUUACCUGGUUUAGCCUGCCUAUCAAAGUAGUGCACUUGGGUGUGGCUGCUGUUGAAUGCAAACAGCUAGUUGGAGCCACAGGUGAGAGCUGAAUGUCUGGUGGGGACCAAAGGUGAGUGGGCUGCCCCGGAACAGACAUAACAAACCCUUUCACCAGAGAUGCUUCCCCUCCCUGGACACCCCAUACACCCCGACUAUGAAUAUUUAUGAGUAUUUGGAGAACCAGACCAAAUGGUCAUAAAUUCUGUCUCUAAGAAUUCUCUCCAAUAAUUUCCCCACCACUGAAGUAAGACUCACUUGUCUAUAAUUCCCAGUGUUAUCCCCUUUCCCUUUCUUGAAUAUCACUUGUCACCUUCCAAUCAUCUGGUACUUCUCCUGUGGCCAGUGGGAAUGUAAAAAUCAUCACCAAGGGUACAACAAUCUCUUCCCAUGGUAAGCUGGGGACUUAUCUAUUGUAAUGUUUUUCCACAGUUCAUCAUCUUUCUUAAUAUUGACAUGUUCCACUAUAUCAGCCUGUUUUACACCAUCCUCACAACUGCUGAGGUUUGUCUUACUAGUCAAUACUGAAGCAAAAUAUUCAAUAAGGUCCUGUCCUACCUCCCCCCCAACUCCAGGCAUAUUUUUCUACCCCUGAUCAGUUCAUUCUCUCACUCUGGCCAUCUGCCUGUUCUUCACGUACAUAUAGAAAAUCUAUCCAGAAUCCCCAGCAAGUGCUCCCUAAAUAACAUCCACAUUUUCAGUUCCCUGAGUACAUCAGUUCCCAACUUAUGCUCCCAAGUUCCUGCCUAGUAGCAUUAUAAGUCGCACUCUUCCAAUUAAAUAUUAUCCCAUACUGUCUGCCCCUAACCCUUUCCAAGGCCAGGAAUUUGUGAUCACUGUAUCCGAAAUGCUCUGCCGCAGAAAGAUCCGACACCUGACUUGGCAGUUCAUUGCUGAGAACCAGAUCCGGUAUGGCCGAGUCAGUCUGUCUACGUACUGGGUCAGGAAUCCCUCCCGGAUACAAUUAACAAUCCCGCCCCCUUGGAAGCUUUGCGUUAAGGAGAUGCCAAUCCAUAUUAGUGAAAUUGAAGUCACAAAUGACACCAACCCUCUUAUUUUUGCAUCUUUCCAAACUCCCCUUCCUGAUCUGUUCCUCAGUAUUUAAAGGAAUUACCACAUCAAUCAAAUCAAGUUUAAUUAUCAUUCAACCAUACAUGGGUACAGCAGAAUGAGACAGUGUUCCUCUGGGGCAAGGUGCAAAACAUAUGCAGCAUGUUCAAAAUUAGUGAGAAAAAAAACAUGGUCACGUAAGAAUUUCUUCUAGUUAACUGGUAUUCCUGCUGGGCAACAAGUGAUGGUUAAAAAAAGGCAAAUAACUCACGAUUCUUCCCUCCUGACCUCUGUUCAGCUCUCAGGUUAUAAACAAAUGGCAGCAGCAUCUCCGAUUAUACUCCUUCCCCACAAAACCUUUGUGUUAUUUGUCCCAGGCUUCAGUGUAUCCUUCAGCAGAGGAUUAGCAACUCAGAGGUUUGCAAGACAGAUCAAAGUGCAACGAGGUGCCGAUAAGGAAACGCUGCCAACGGGCACAUUCCAGGCAAUAGGGGUAGAUACUGAGGCACACUGGGGCUCGAUGCAGCUCUUACAGAGGCCUUGUGGGGAUGGUCCACUGUCUAAGCUCCUGAGGGGCUGAAUCCAAUGUAACAGCCUCUCAAACAGGUUAUGGAGGUACUGCUUAAAGAAGAAACAUAGAACAUAGAACAGCAUGGCACAGUACAGGCCCUUUGGCUCACAAUGUUAUGACCUUUUACCCUACACGAAGAUCAGUCUAACCCUUCACUCCUACAGAGCCAUCCAUUUUCCUAUCAUCCAUAUAUCAAACAUCAAUGGCUCUGACACACAGUAAGUAGAAUGUAUUGGUUUGACGGUAGACUGAUUGUACUUAUUUAUUGACACUUUGAAUGUAAAGCGAGUAAGUACUGACGGUAUUGCAUUUCCUGUGUAUGUCUUUCUGAAUAAAAUUUAG